CACUAGCUGAUAUAAUGAAAUUUUUAAUAAUACCACAAAUAUUUAUAAAAUUCCACUAUGUACAAACAUUUACAAACCACCACACAUUUAAAAUAAUAACGAACGAUAAUCCACAAAACAAUUCCCAUACCAUUUUAUCAUGGCCGUGUCUCUCUCAAGAACCGGUAAACAGUUUACAGGUUCUGGUAAACAAUUUUCCCCGUUAAAAACACCAGAAACAGGAAGCAGAGGUACCGCCGAAGCCUGGCAGCCGAAGCAGCAGCAGGUGUUCCUCAUUCCCUCAUCAGCCGGGGGGCUAUAAGAAGGCAGACUGCCAGCACACGGUGUUUUGCCUAAUCAGGGUUUCAGGACCAAGCCACACUCCCACUCGGAGGAGGACCACAGUCAGAGUUGAAUCGUAACCGUUGCCUUGGAUCAGUCCCAGCUGGCAGUCUGUAGAUCUGGCCCCCCGGUCCGAGCAAACCCUGUCCACCCUCCAACGUUGCCCGGCUAGGAUAAUCACUCUCAGCUCCGGCGGGCCGCAGUGCGGACCAAAACAUCAUUCCCAGACUCGACAGCCUCACUCCCUGGUGGAUCAUUCCCGGCACACUGUAAGCUGUUUACAAAUAAUCUGAACCAUUUUCUAAGUGAACUUGUAUUUGAUCAGCCCUUUUCCCUUUCAGUUACGUGGUUCUAGUCCAUAGGCUUUUGUUGCGCCCCUGUGUCUGGUCAAAUAAACUCCUAAACUGCU